UGAAAAAGUGCUAUGCAAAUAAAAUGACCUUACAUUAAAUAAGAGAGACUUCAAACAUAAACAUUGCUUUGUGUUAGAGGAUUCUGUGUUUUAAUACCGACUACUAGAGCAUUUCUACUAUUAGUUUUUGUGUUGCUAAGGUAGAGAAGAGUGAUGUAACACACAGUGAUCCAGUAUGACAGGAAAAAAACAUAGUGGAGCGUAAAAAAUACCUCAGGAAGGGAACAAAGUGUCUCCAGGCCCAAAAAAAUCUUUAUUGUGAUGAAUAAACUUGAUGGACAAGAGAAUAUUAAAUCGAAGGAAUCAUCAUCAUGAUUAAAAAACUGAACACAAUUAUUUUUAUUUUUACAUUGCAUAAAUCCUGGGGACAGAAGUUUAUGGAAAUCAGCACAUAAAUCAAAUCAAGUGACUCAACUAGUGGAUCCAAGAAAAGCAUGGAGGCAACAGUAACGAGCAGAUGAUGCUGAUGUGUUCUGACAGAGAGAUAUGGCUUCAAGAGAGGAAAUAAAUAGCAAGGAAGACAGAGAACACAACAUCAAGACCUCAUAAAGUAAUGGUUAAAGGUAAGCAAGCGAGUCGUGGAGAGGACAGCCACACCUCUGCUCCGUCAGCGGGAGGAGGGGCUGCUGCAGCCUGAGGCAGAGCAACAGAACUGAUGGGCGCCCUCGUCCUCGCCCUCCUCACUGGGGAGGCGACAAACAUGGGACAGCAGGCGGACGAGAAAAAAAACAGAGGAAAAACGUGAAAAACGAAGCAUGAAGCAAGCAGGUGGGAUCCCGUCCUUACUAGUGUGGGUGGCAUUAAGGAGAUAAAGCAGGAACAAAAAAGGCAUCUGGGUUAGUUUACUCUGCAGCUGCCUUAGUGCCAGUAGGUGGCAGUGUUGCGGCGCUGUGUGCUGGAGAGCAGCAUCAGCUGAGGGAUAAGUGGAGGAGA